rnacentral:rRNA from 1 species
CCAGGCGGGCGACUUAUCGCGUUAACUUCGCCACAAAGUGCGCUAGGCACCCAACGGCUGGUCGACAUCGUUUACGGCGUGGACUACCAGGGUAUCUAAUCCUGUUUGCUACCCACGCUUUCGCACCUCAGUGUCAGUGUCAGUCCAGAAGGCCGCCUUCGCCACUGGUAUUCCUCCCGAUCUCUACGCAUUUCACCGCUACACCGGGAAUUCUACCUUCCUCUCCUGCACUCUAGCCUGACAGUUCCGGAUGCCGUUCCCAGGUUGAGCCCGGGGCUUUCACAACCGGCUUAUCAAGCCACCUACGCGCGCUUUACGCCCAGUAAUUCCGAUUAACGCUUGCACCCUCCGUAUUACCGCGGCUGCUGGCACGGAGUUAGCCGGUGCUUCUUCUGCGAGUGAUGUCUUUCCUGGCGGGUAUUAACCGCCAGGCGUUCUUCCUCGCUGAAAGUGCUUUACAACCCGAGGGCCUUCUUCACACACGCGGCAUGGCUGGAUCAGGCUUGCGCCCAUUGUCCAAUAUUCCCCACUGCUGCCUCCCGUAGGC